GGAUAUAUAGCUCAGUGGUAGAGUGCAUGCUUAGCAUGCACAAGUCCUGGGUUCAAUCCCCAAUGCCUCUG
rnacentral:tRNA from 1 species